GGAUUCUUCUUGAAGGAGGCUUUGGAGACACCGCUUGACAGGUCCUGGCCCCGCCCCUUCCUCCCACAGUGUGACAGUCCGGGAGGGGGGGAGGGGGGGUUGAUUCUUUUCUUCCUUCGCCCCAAGAUAUUGGACCCGCAGUUUCAAGCCAGUUGCGGCCUCUGAGGCUCACUCUGCGUGCCCCUGUACCAUCCAGUGCCUGGAUCCGGCUUCACUUGGCCCCUUUGAAUGCCGCUCGCCCUGGCAGGGACUCGGCCACCCCUGCGGGCUGGGCGCCUCUGGCCGCCCGCUUCUCUAGCCUCUUCGCUCCCGCCGCGGGCUGACCUGCGGAGUGAGGUGUCCCGGGCCCCUGCGCCCAUCCGGAGUGACGGUGGCUCCUCUGUUCGCGGCGCCUCUCCCCCGAAUUGAAUCUAUAAUCCUUCAAGCCCCGGCUGCAAGUUCUGCUUCCCCCCCCGCCCCACUCCGUCCCCCCUUUGGGCUUUUCAGUUUUUGACUCCUCUCCACUAUUUGGUUCCCCCCUCCAGUUAAAGGGGGGGGGGGAGCCAAUUAAAUCGGCAGUGCUUGAAGACAGCCUUGCCUCCUGCCCAAUUCCCCGGCCUCCCCGAGGACAAAUUAGAGAAAAGAAAACAGGGCUGGGGGAAAAAAAAACAAAAACCCGCAUCUGCGCGGCUUUUUCCUCCUUUUCUUUCGCAUUCUUUCUCCUUUUUUUCCCUUUCCCCUGCAGAGAAAUGUCAGAAACCAGGCAAGGAUCCAUUCAUCCUGGGGACACACACGGCUUCGAGGCCCCGGGCAGAGGAGACGGGAGGAGCUGGUGGUGCACACGCUUGGUGCAAUGAGCGUGGGGAUGUGUGCGACACACACAGCUUGGACCGUGUCCGUAGUGUAGCAUUGGGGUCCCUGUAGAGCCUCGGUGGCAGAACUCCGCCUUUCUUGUCAACGUCUCUGCCUGGUUUCGCGGAAAGAAGGCGCUUCUCCUCGGCCCCAGUGAAUGUGAUGCUCCAGCUGUCCCCUCUGCUCCUAGGUGGUGGAGCAAAAGUCUUACUUCUGUUCAGUAGGGAAUCAGCAAACGCCGAACGGAGGAGCCGCCAGCAAAGUUAUCCCUGGCAAGCCGAAAUAGGGGAGUUUCCAUUUUCCCGAGGUCUCUCGCGCAGCCGGCUGUUUCCUUCUAAAGCUGUAAAGCCAAAUCUCUAGAAACCUCUCUGAAUGGGUAUGAUUGUUCCGCUAGGAAUAUUUUCUAGGAGGAUCAUUCAACUAUCGAGCCCUAUUUAAAAAAAAAACAAAGUGACCCACUCAAGAGUCCGCCUGAAGGUAAGGUAUUUAGACAUAUCCAGUCUUCUCCAAGGCAGGAGAUUUCCUAGUGCCUUGGCCCCAAAUAUGCUUUUAGACCAGCAUCAUCGGUGCCCUAGUUAUCCGCGAUUUUAGAAGACACUUUGUAAUAGAGCAUUAAGGAAAGUAGCUGCCUUUGCUAAUCACACACUUUGGUACAGUGAACCCCCGGCGGAGGUGUUACUCAGCCCCCUGUCCCUGGGAUCGCUGAUGGGAACCUGUGCCGCCGCCAGACAGAGAGAGAGGUGUUACACCCAAAGGAACAACUGCACUUGCAAAAGGCGCACUGGCAGGGAUUGAUUCAUCGUGUGAACAAGAAUCAUACCCAAGGUUAAACACACACACACACGAAAGAAAGAGUGAUCGCCCAGAGAACGGCUGCUUACUAAUUCAUGCUCUAACAAAUAAGCAAUUAACAGAUAGAGUCGCUAAUUAGUAAGCAGGUAUUUCUAUUAUAAACUGUAUUCAACCAUGGAGAGGAGCAAUAAUGUACAGCAGCGACAGAGACAGCACGAGCAGCCGGACUAGCUGGAUUAUAAGGACCAGUUUCCUAUUAAUGGGGCAGAGAAGGCUGAUAGGGUUUAUAAUAGGCCCAUAUUCUUCCCCCAAGAAAGAUCAGGAGUUUUGUAAAGAUGGGUUAAAGGAACACUCGUCAAGUACUUGUAGGUUUCUACCCUAUAGGUUUACCACAGCUUGGAGUGGAGGGGAUUCCAAACUUCCAUACGAGUAGAAAUGUCUUCUUGACUUUUAAGAAGUUUCAAUAAACCCUGUUUUGGGAGGAAUUUAAAUCCAGCUGCUUGCACCCGGCUGCUUAAAGAGGGCCGCAUGAGACAGCUGCAGAGAGACCCAAAAAGUCAAAGUGAGCAACUUUGCCUCUUACAGUUUGUAUGACAACUUCCACCUACUCUGUAUGCGUAUACAUCUUCUUACUAUAUGUUUCAUUCUAUGCAUCCGAUGAAGUGGGCUGUAACCCACGAAAGCUUA